rnacentral:rRNA from 1 species
CCCUUAGAUGUUCUGGGCCGCACGCGUGCUACGCUGAGUGGAUCAGCGGGUCAGGUUACGCGAGAGCGUUUCCUAAUCUUCAAAUCCGCUCGUGAUGGGGAUUGACGGUUGCAAUUUUCCGUCAUGAACGAGGAAUACCUUGUAAGCGCGGGUCAUCAUCCCGCGCUGAAUACGUCCCUGCCCUUUGUACACACCGCCCGUCGCUCCUACCGAUUGAGUGGUCCGGUGAGGCUUUGGGAUCUAAGCGAAAAGAGCGUUUCGCUCCUUUUGCUGGGAGAACUCAGUCGAACCUUAUCAUUUAGAGGAAGGAGAAGUCGUAACA